UUUGGAAAUGAUGGAGAAUCCCAUAAUUGUCUGUGGAGACUUCACCAAAGACCACCUCUUGUCUGGAAGAAAGCCCAUUCUGGAGUUGUUCCAAUCCCUACUAUACAAACAGCUCAUCUCCAUGGCCACCACAAAGAAAACGAACAUUGGCCUACGUCUUUGACAUGAAGUCAGUGUGCCACACAGAACCGGGAGACAAAAGACCUGGAUAGAGCCUGAUUAUCAGCCACUCGUCUUUUACUUGGUGGUGUGUGCACAGUUGCGUGAAGGCGGUGUGUCGUACCUGAGGUGGAUGCUGUGUGAUGAGAGUAGAGUAGGGUCAGCAGCAAGGGACAUCAGGAGGAUAUUGUGGCAUCUUCAAAGUUUACAAAGGGCAGUGACAGCAGCAACAGUUGUGGCAACGCUGGUUCGAGCCUCGGCUGGGUCAGUUGGUGUUUCUAUGUGGAGUUUGCAUGUUCUCCCUGCGUUCGAGUGGGUUUCCUCCGGUUGCUUCGACUUCUUCAACAGUCUAAAGACACGCGGAACAGGCACAGCUUUAACACAACAGCAGCCUUUUCAAAGUGGACAGAAUUCUUUGAGAUUCAAUCUAAAGCUAAGUAUUUUGUUUCAGUUGUUUGUACUGCCUUGUAAUACAGUCACAUUUUCAGCAUAAUGUUAAAUCUUAGUCUCAUUCAAGUGUUGUGUUUUUUUUAUGUUUUUACUACCAGAAGACCCAAGAAGAUGUGUUGACUGAGAAAACAAAUGUCCUGCAGUAUUGUUGAGGAAGACAUCUGCCUAACUAUAUAUUGGAGAAGACCAGGUGUAUGCGCACUACGGCAUUGCAGAAUGAUGGACCAGAGGAAGAACAUCUCUAAUACAGAGGUAUUCUGAAACAAGAGAAGACCAGGUGUUUGGCAUUGCACACCACAGAAUUGCAGGAUGACGGACCAGAGGAUAUACAGUCUGUGCAUGCCAGAUCCAGAGGCCAGAUGGUGGAAGACGGUGUCCUGCAACAUUUUAGAUAAUUUUAACGUUGUUUAAAAAUGUUAUUAGCUUAUACAUUUAAAAAAUGUUAUGUUAUGUGCCACGCCCAAGAAAGAUGGGUACUCCCUUGCUGAGUCUGGUCUUUCCAAGGUUUCUCUCCAAACUUUUUGGAGUUUUUUUCCUUGCCACAGUCGCCAAUGGCUUGCUCACAGGGGGUGUUGUGCCAAGUCCUGUCUUCCCCUCGUGUCCUUUAUCUUUAAACUUAGAUUCCAUAGUAAUUUAGCCAUACAAAUGUUAAUAAAAAGGAGCUUAAAAUUAAUUUAAAACAAGUAAAAAUAGGCUUAAGAGUACAAAUAAAGCUUAGUCAAUCAUAUCAUCACAAUUUAGGAUAUUUAUAUGCAGCUUAGGUUUGAAUAUAUUUGCCAUUAAUAAAUACUAAUGAGUAAAAUGUUUGCACCAUAAACUAUUAAUUGUUAUAAAUCAAUGUAACUUUUUUUUUCUCAGAUUAGAGCCGCAAAUUAUUUGCAGAAAGGGACAGUAGGUCAGGUAAAAAUUGAUUAUCAUCACAUAUGGCCAAAGUACAUUUUUACUUUAAACAACGUAAAAAAAGAAUAAAACCCAUUAGCAUUUAGAUCAGUUUCUUAGGGCACUUUAAUAUUAAUUAAUUAAUAAUAAUAAUAAUA